UCCAGUUCUAGAUGAGCAUGAUUUUCUCUCUGCCAUUGGAUGUCCCUUGGUAUUUCGAUCGCCAUGAAACUUAACAUCGUCCCAUUUUUCCAGUUGUGUUUGAAUGUCUAUGCACAUAACCAGAGUUUGACUAGCUCAUUGUGAGAAAUAGAAAAUUCAAAUUCGAGAAGGUCCCUACAGCUCUACCUCUCCACCAGUCCCUGCUGUUUCACUGGCCCUGGCACCACACUGGAGAGACUAGCUUCUGAGCAAGACUGGUGGCUUCCUCGCAAGGAAUCUCUUCACCCAGCUCACUUAGAAAAGCCACAGAAAGACAAAGAAACUACUUGCAUUAACCCUUUGUGGCAGUCUACAACAAUGACUGCAGCAUUCCUCUGUAAUCUCCAAGCUUUUCCUCUAGGUGGGGAAUGGAUUUUUGCUGAUGUCUCAAUACUCUUCUGUCUGCUUCUCCCUUGUACUGAAGGCAGGGGCCAGGCUCCACUGAACUCACAACCCGGAUUUCUUUAGUAGUGCAUGGGCUUCAUGAGCUAACCAUUCCUAUGGGAUCUUUAGGAUCGUGUGUCAAACUUCACUCGUAAUAGUCUCGUUUUCUGAUUCCAAUUCCAAGUCACAGUGGUUGGAUGUUGUUGGUGAAGUGGAAACAUCUGGCUCUGUCAUGGCUUAGCUGUGUAACUUGAAGUAAGUUUCUUGCCCUCUCUGAGUUUCAGUUUCCUCAUUUGAAAAUGAGGAAUUAAUUGUCUUUUAGGGAUAAGAUGAAGAUUAAAUGAUCUAAUGUAUGUAAAGUGCCAGGCAUACAAUAGGUACUCAAUAAAUGUGAUUUCUAUUCUUUUAUAGCCAA